GGGGAUCUGGUUUAGUGGUAUAACGUCUCAUUUGCAUUGGCAAAAUGUCAUAGUUUGAGAAGGUCUAGGGUUCGAUUCCCUAGUUCUCCA